AAAAAAAAAACCCCUGGAUUUCUAUAUCCAACGUUUGACCUCUUAUUUAAAAAAAUUAUGAAAAAAAUUAAAAAGAUAAGCCACGCAUAAAGUAUUAACUAUAUUUUAUCAUCUAACAACAAUGAAAAUACUAAUUAUAAAAAAAUUUUAUAUAAGACGGACAGUCAAAUGUUGGACGCGGAAAUCCAGGGUUUGUCUUUUU
rfam:Oryza sativa Japonica Group DNA, chromosome 9, cultivar: Nipponbare, complete sequence.